AAAAAAUUGGAAAAGACCAUUGGGAAGGAAAAAUCUGUUGACAACCACAUGAAAGAAGAAAGGUUGAAAGAGCACAAAUUUAAAAAGGAAAAAAAGAGGAAUAAUGAGAAGAGAUUGGGGGUGAUCCGAACAUGGGAAAGAAGACUUUUCUUGCUGUGUCUUCCAUCACCGUGGUUGGAGAGGGGUCUGACAGAGGAUUGAGAAAAGAUUAAAAAGGAAAAAAAAAAGAAAAAAAAUGAAGAGGGAUGCACGAUAGAAGGCGGUAGUGGCAUCAUUCUAGAGAGAGGGUUAAGGGGCGUUAGGGAAGGUUUCAGAGAGAGUAGGACUGUGAUUUUUAGAUAGGGAAUCAAUCCAUGUUAGAGAUAAGGGUUAGGCUGUGAUUUUCAGAGGGAGAAUUAGUCCGUGUUUUAGAGAGGUUAGGCUGUGAUUUUUAGAGGAGGAAUCGGUCCAGGUUUCAGAGAAAGGUUAGGCUGUGAUUUUCAGAGGGAGAGUCAGUCAGUGUUAGAGAAAGGUUAGGCUGUGAUUUUCAGAGGAGGAAUCAGUCAAGGUUUUAGAGGGAUUCUGGCUGUCAUUUUGAAGGAGGAAUUGGUCCAGGUUUCAGAGGGAUUCAAGAUUCUGUUUGAAGGAGGGAUCAGUCCGUGUUUAGGAGGAAUUCGGGCUGCUGUUUGAAGGAAGAAUCAGUCCGUGUUUAAGAGGGAUUCAGGCUGCUGUUUGAAGGGGGAAUCAGUACGUGUUUAGGAGGGACUCAGGCUGCUAUUUGAAGGAGGAAUCGGUCCAGGUUUCAAAGGGAUUCGGGCUGCUGUUUGAAGGAGGAAUCAGUCCGUGUUUAGGAGGGAUUCAGGCUGCUGUUUGAAGGAAGAAUCAGUCCGUGUUUAGGAGGAAUUCGGCUUGUUGUUUGAAGGAGGAAUCAGUCCAUGUUUAGGAGGGAUUCGGGUUGCUGUUUGAAGGAGGAAUCAAUCCAUGUUUAAGAGGGAUUCAGGCUACUGUUUGAAGGAGGAAUUGGUCCAGGUUUCAGAGGGAUUCAAGCUGUCAUUUUGAAGGAGGAAUUAGUCCAGGUUUCAGAGGGAUUUGGGCUGCUGUUUGAAGGAGGAAUCAAUUUGUGUUUAGGAGGUAUUUGGGCUGCUGUUUGAAGGAGGGAUCAGUCCGUGUUUAGGAGGGAUUCAGGCUGCUGUUUGAAGGAGGAAUCAGUCCGUGUUUAGGAGGGAUUCGGGUUGCUAUUUGAAAGAGGGAUCAGUCCGUGUUUAGGAAGGAUUUGGGCUAUUGUUUUAAAGAAAAAUCAAUCUAUGUUUAGGAGGGAUUCGGACUGCUGUUUGAAGGAGGGAUUAGUCCGUGUUUAGGAGGUAUUCAAGCUGCUGUUUGGGAAGGAAUCCUAGAGGUCUUUGGAAGGUAUAUAUUGUCUUCCACGCAUUUUAAAAGUCUUCUGUUAAGCAGUUUACAAUUUUAGAAUUUAGUUUUAUUGUUUUUAGCCAUGUUAUUUAAAUCUUUAUGUUGCAAAGUUUAACUACUUUUAAUAUUAUUUUAUGCACUUAUCUAUUUAUUCAUUGUUUAUGGUUUCUUGAUAUUAGAAUAUUAUUCACUCCCAUGUUAUGUAAUUUUCAUCUUACAAAGUCUAAUAGAUUUAGCAUUUACUUGUUUUUUUCAUGCUUAAUUUCAUGUUAUUAGGAUGCUCUCCAUGCUAUUAAAAAGGUCGAUAAUGGUUUUUAAUCUUAUUUUAGGUUUGUUUUAUUAGCUUACUACCCAUGCCAUGAAAAAAAAAAAAAAAUCUGAAUUCUGUUUAGUGUUAUCUUUAAUUCAUUAUAUAAAUUCUAAAAGUUUAAAAUUUUGCUUUGUAUUAAUUUAAUUCAUGUCAAUUUGAAGUUGAUAAUUAGCUAGUUAGAUUACUUCUUGCUAGUUGUUGGUUAUAAUUUUAGUCUUUAGUUUAGUUCAUGCUUGUUUUAAACUGAUAAUUGGCUAGUUAUAUGAAUUCUAGUUAGUUAUUAAGUUAGGUAUAAUUAUAGUUUUGGUUUAAUUUAUGCUAAUUUUUAUUUAACAACUUGCUAGUUUGAUUAAUUCUUAAUAUUUGUUAAGUUAUUCCUAAUUUUAAUCAUAACUUAAUUCAUGUUUACCUUUUUUCAAUUGAUGAUUCCUGAGUUUGAUUAAUCAUUGCAAUUAUUAAGUUGUUUAGAAUUUUGUUUUACUUAAAUCUAUGUCUCCUCAUAGUGGUUUCUUUUAGUUGGAUUGACCUCAUUUGUUUAUUUAUUUAUUUUUUAUUUUAAAAUCUUAGAUUUAGUCAAAUUCUUGUCACGUCUUUAAAUUAAUAACUUUUAACUUUGAUUGAAUCCAUUUAGUUUUUAGAAUUUAGGUUUUAGUUAAAUUUUUGCUAUGUUUUCAAGUCAACAAUUCUAGUUAUUUUUUAAUUGAACUCUUUUAAGUCUUGAGCUCAAACCUAUUUAUUAAGAAAAGAGUUCUUUUAAAUUGGCAUCUCGAAUGAAGUCAAAAUAACUUCUAUUCUUUAAAAAAAAUGAAUAUUCUCCAUCAAUGAUGUGGCUCCUAGAUCCCAAAUGAAAGGUAGCCAAAAAGGGGAUUCAAUUUAGCUUUUCUCUCAUUUUCAAAACCCUCUUAAGUCAGGAAUAAAAAAUCUCUAUUUUGUGUCUAUUGAUUGGGAUUUAACAAAUCAUUGGGUCAUUUUUUUUACUUUCCUUAAAGUCAUUUUCAAAAGCAUUUAAAUCACCAAUAAAAGGUUUUAGAAAACAUUCAUUCUAGCUUUAGGCGAAGAACACACUUUCUAUUAAAUAUAUGCAACUCAUUUCAUUUAAGUUGUAUUUCUCCUUUAUUGGUUUUUUUCAAAAAUUUGAUUUUUAUUCACAUAGGUUUGGACUUGUGCUCCCAAACUAAUGGGGAUACACAAGUAAAACUUAUGGAACUUGAAUGGGGACUUGAUGGAACCCCCACAUAAGAAAAUUUUUCAAAACUCUUCCUUGCUGCCAGUUUUCACUCAGACCCUUUAGCUUUAAAAUUCAUUUUAGAAACUUUAGAAUAUUUUAAAAAAAAUUUCAAAGCUUGUAUGACUUUUUUCACUCCUUGAACUUUUGAAGUUUUUUCUUAGUUAGAAAACAAUUUCGAAACAGAAAAUAUAAAUGAGUCUUUAGGGGGGCUCCGUUUUCACCCAAUUCUGGACAUCCGAGAUAUUUUUGCAAAAAUAAAAUACCAGACGACUUUUUAAAUUUGAUUCAAUAUUUUUUUCUCAAUUCUAGGCUUCUUGAAAUUGACAUUAGUCACAUAAAAUAUUUAAAAAUAUGCCUUUUUGAGGGAGAUAUGUUUUUUCAAAUUCGUACUUACUGCACAUGUUGAAUUUUGGGGGUCUACUUAGCUUGACUGUUUUAAAAAUAUUUUUGAGUACUAUCCGACCCUGGAUUCAUUUAGACACUUUAAAAUAUGUGUGCAAUUUUUUGUAUGCUUUUAUGUGAUCAUUUACUAUUUUUUUUUUUUUAAAUUCAUUUAUGCAUGUCAGUUUUUCUUAUCUAAUCUGGACUUUGUAGAAUCUUUAUGUGUCUUUGCUGCAAUUUGUCCUUUGAAUGAGAGUUUGGCCUUUGGUAUGUUGAUCUAGAUGUGUAGGAAUUGUUUCUUGAAUUUUUUCGUAGUUAAAUUCCACUCUAAGCCAUUUUUUAGAAAUUGUUUUUUUUUAUGCUCCAUUUUCUAAUUGCAUGCUGAUGGUUUUAUACUUUACUUUGAAUUGUUAUUAGUUUUGGAGUCAUUUGAUUUAUCUUAGCUCAAUUUUGGCUUUGGUACUGUACAUUAGAAUAAUAAAGAUGUUAUAUAAUUUAUACUUGCCCUAAACAUUCUAACAUUUUUAGAAGAAUCUUAUAAAAUAUGCAUGCCAUCCAAGUACGCUCUCUAUCACUCACUUUUUGGAAUUCUAUGAACAUGUAUACUAUUGAAGAUUAUAUUUAUGUUUGAUAUAAUCCUUUUGACACUUAGAUGUAUGUUUGAUUCACUAUGAUUAAAUACGUGUCGUGUGUUAUAUUUCUAUACUAACUCUGAUGUUUUAUGAUAGCGCUUGAGAAGCAAUUUAGGUACACACUUUGACUCUCUUUUAUGAUCAUGAUUUGAUUUUCUGGCUUGGCAUGUUAAUUCUGAAAUCACCUUAGUCUACCUAGGUACCUUCAAUCAAUUAAUUAAUUACCAUAUUUCCCUCAACUUAGUUAGUAGAGACCUUUAUAGGGCUUAGAGGAGUGCUACCUCAUAGAGGUACCUUCCCAAUAAGUAACUUGAUCCCUAGACCUAGACUCGGGUUUUUCAAAGACACACUUUUUCAAAAACUAUGGAGUCAUUUUUUAGGGUUUUAUUUUUCCUUUAAAAUAAAAUAAAAUAAGUGGCAACUCCGACUUUUCCAAAACUAAAUUUUUCACCAAUAAAAGCAAGUCUUGUUGAUCAAGUGGGAGCGCAUGCGAAAAAUGCGGGUCCACACAUAGGUUGCAGAUUGGUAAGUAUGAAUGAAGCUGAAGGUGGUGCUAAUGAGGAAAAUGGGUAUGGUGGUCAUGAUGAUAAGAAUCUUAUGGAAAUGUAAUUAUUGAACAGUUUCGAAGUAGUUCAUGCUGAAAUAUUUGAAGAGACUUCAUAUCCUCAUUACUUUCGAAAAUAGUCUAAUUUCAGUUGCAACAAAAAAGAGUUUCUUACACAUAUUUUUAGUAGUAGACAAGGCCACUCGCUGGACCUCCAUGGAGAAGAAACCCAUAUAUGAAAGUGCUUCCAAGAGUCCUCUAGCUCAUAAGCAGGCAAUUGGGUAUUCCUAAGAUGUCUUCUUAAGAGCUUGCAAAAACUGUUUAGCCAAGUCCGCAUACUCUAUUGUGAGUAAUCAAGCAUAAAAACAUGAAACUGCACCAUGAUGCACUACUGUUGCACAUGAAGAAGGCAACUCAUCACAUAAAUGGGUCAAUGCCCGAGUACAAGAAACAUAAUAUCGGGAUUGUUCUCAUGAUUGAGCAAACCUACGAGCACCGACAUAAAGGAAUCUAUUGAAAGUAUUAUGAGUGACUCCAUGUCAAGCUUCCUUCUCGGUUGCUUUAUCAUCAUAAGAAUCAAAUUCUCACUUUCAAGAGCUUGUGGAAGUUCCAUUCCUUCCACACUUUAUGUUUCCUUAUCUUGGACAUAGACUUCAAUUCAUCAAGUGUUUUGAAAUCCAUGAAUUCUUUCACCAAACAUAUCUCCCAACUAUGAGUGCAUGUGCAUCUAUAUCUGUAAGAACAGUGUGAACGAUACUUCACUAAUUUAUCCAGCCUUGGCUAUUUUACUAAUGCAUGUUAUCUUUAUCCACAUAAUUUAAUGCAUGGUUGUAUUGAUUCCUUUGAGACUUAAUAAUGUUCAGUGUAUCUUGUGCAAUACUAUUGAUUACCUUAACAAAAUGACACUUUGUGAGGAAUUGUUGCAGUCACAAUUGACACACCUCCAUAAUUUUAUCUCUAACAAUGUUCCCUUUAUUAAGUAGUAAUGUCACAACCAGCUGUAGUUUGUAAACGUGCAUCUUGUCCUACACGAAUCAGAACAACUGAUUUAGAGUUGUGGGAUAAAAUGGAAGAAAAUAACAAGAAAUGCUGUAAACCAGCUUUAACCUUUACCAAUGAAGUACUUAAGGUUGCCCCAUUCCAAAAUUCCAUGUACUUCAGAGCGAGGAUACCAUAGUCAUACCUAUAACAUGUUACACUUAGACUUGUCAUCUAGAUGACUGAAAUCCGAGAAAUAUAAUUGACCAAAAAUAUGUUUAUUAGUAAGUAUAUUAUAAUCUUUUACCCAUUUUUUUGUUGGACAAGAUCUAGUUGAACAUGCAGAAAUCUUGAGACCUCCAGGUUCAUGUGAAUUUUAUAUGCAUGCAAUGCUUUCUGGAUAGCUAGUGACAAUCGCCUCGUUAAAGCACUGAUGUUGUUCCCUCGACGUAGUGGCAAUAAUGAUAGGAUCUCUACUCAACCUAUUGGAAAGUUUACCACAUGUAUGUGCCAGUGAUUGUUUUCACAUACAGGGAUAAACAACUGCAUGAUCAAUGGAGACUUAUUAUGUUUUAUGUUAUUAGAUAAAAGUCACGACAAAUUCUGUUGCAUAUAUUACAAAGGGAAAUAACUGUAACAAGUGUUGCAUACCAUAUCACAUGUCCCAAGAUCAAGACCCAAUAUAUCAACAUCAAGAUACAUGCAACAUCUGUCAAUGAUUACCUAGUUGGUUGCCUUUACUUUAAGGUUGCUGAGAACAACUUAUUCAAGGGUGGGAUUAAUCAAUACAAACAUCAACAAAUAGUAUUCUAUUUUGACACGAAGUAAAAUUAUCUUCAAUAGAAGGUGCACUGAGAACAAAUGAUCAAAAUAGUGUGCAUGCGGUGGUUGUGCUUGGUGUCCAUUCAACAUACAUGACAUAAUGGUCACAAUCUAAAAAAGAUUCAAAAAUGCACAUAUUUUACAACCCGACUCUAGACUUCAUGCAUUCAUAUAAAUUGUUAAUUGGCAAUUCAAUUCAACUAAAGGAUUAGUAACUUACCACAGAAUUAACCCACCGACCUGCAUUUAAACAAGACAGUUCUUCCCUUGUUGUGUACAUUCCAUGCAUGUCAUAUACAACCCCACUACAAUGUCAGAAAAGGAUUAUGUGAAACUGAUUUAAAGUUCUUCACAUAGUAUAUCACUGUAACAAUGAUUGACAAAUACAAAGUAAUGUACCUGGGAUCACCAUCUUCUGCCAAUGCAUAAUCAAUGACAACCAUAUCUUAAUGUGGGAUUUUAGGGAACUAUUUUAGGCAUUGCAUGAAAAACGAAGAUUUGCAAAUGGAAGGACGCUUGACAAUCCUCUUAGCAGUUCGUUUAUAU
rnacentral:lncRNA from 1 species